ACUAGCCUGCAAAACUCAGAGGAACUCACAAUAACUGUGCCUAUGGCUUGCUAGUUCUGUGUUAUGAGUGCAGGAUGUUGUGAUGCAGGGGAAAAAUGAUAGUUACCAUAAUUUCCAAAUUUCCUUCUGCAAAUGCUUACAAAUCAUGGCCUUGGAAGCCCCCCGAAAUAGGAGCAAAGCAAAGCUCCUGUCAACUUUAAUAGUGAAGGAUCAGGUCCUAGUGUGAGAAUAGAAGCAUUACUGAAAAUACCAGGCUAAAUUUCACAAGAAGGUUCAUUGAUACCAUGAUGUCUGAUGGAGCAGGUGGUCAACAGAAACAAGACAGGCAAAAAACCUCUGACCAAUGCCUUUGGAAAGACCUUUUCCCA